UACGAAGGGGGCUAGCGUUGUUCGGAAUUACUGGGCGUAAAGCGCACGUAGGCGGAUUGUUAAGUUAGGGGUGAAAUCCCGGGGCUCAACCCCGGAACUGCCUUUAAUACUGGCAAUCUCGAGUCCGAGAGAGGUCGAGUGGAAUUCCGAGUGUAGAGGUGAAAUUCGUAGAUAUUCGGAGGAACACCAGUGGCGAAGGCGGCUCACUGGCUCGGUACUGAC
rnacentral:rRNA from 1 species